rnacentral:rRNA from 1 species
UACAGAGGGGGCAAGCGUUGUUCGGAAUUACUGGGCGUAAAGGGCGCGUAGGCGGCCUUCUAAGUCGGACGUGAAAUCCCCGAGCUCAACUCGGGAACUGCGUCCGAUACUGGCGGGCUUGAAUCCGGGAGAGGGAUGCGGAAUUCCAGGUGUAGCGGUGAAAUGCGUAGAUAUCUGGAGGAACACCGGUGGCGAAGGCGGCAUCCUGGACCGGCAUUGACGCUGAGGCGCGAAAGCUAGGGGAGCAAACGGG